rnacentral:rRNA from 1 species
CGGCGGUGUUUGGCACCUCGAUGUCGGCUCAUCACAUCCUGGGGCUGAAGUAGGUCCCAAGGGUAUGGCUGUUCGCCAUUUAAAGUGGUACGCGAGCUGGGUUUAGAACGUCGUGAGACAGUUCGGUCCCUAUCUGCCGUGGGCGCUGGAGAAUUGAGGGGGGCUGCUCCUAGUACGAGAGGACCGGAGUGGACGCAUCACUGGUGUUCGGGUUGUCAUGCCAAUGGCACUGCCCGGUAGCUAAAUGCGGAAGAGAUAAGUGCUGAAAGCAUCUAAGCACGAAACUUGCCCCGAGAUGAGUUCUCCCUGACUCCU